ensembl:lncRNA
CAGGACCCAGAAUAAGCGCCGCCUCCGCCCCGCCUCCCCCGCCCCACGUGAUCCUUAGGUGAGUGGUUCUCAAACUUAAAUGGAGAUGAGGGCACGAUUCCCUCGCGGACCUAACUCAACCCCAGGCAGUCUCUGUGACAAACGGGAAAGGAAUCCCACAGGCCAGGGCUGGGCGCGCUGGGCCCAGUGUGGACCGCACUCGGCCAUCACCUGUCUGCGCACCUGAACCCACUGAGGAUGCAACCCAGCGAGCUGGGUCUACUCAACCCUCGGACAUUGAACCUGUUGAACUUGCUGAAGUUAAAGCCCUCCCAGGAUGCAAGUGAUCCUAAAAACAGGUACUAUCUAGAAGUGAGCCAUCCAAGUUGGUGCCUUCAAGAUACUUGCACUCCCGGGGAGGAGAAAAAAUAAGCCAAUAAAUAAAUAGUAAAACCAUAAAAAUAUAAAGGA